rnacentral:misc_RNA from 1 species
GUUUGGCUAGGUUGAUAUCAAAAGUGGAGACUUUCAGUGAGUAGUCGAUUGUCCUACGCGGCUAAGGAAGCUAUCGUGGUGUUGGCCUCCCAAAUUUACUCAAGCUCUGGCGAUAGCAACGAUAGGCAAUUUUGUAAGGGUUUUGAUGAUUUGGUGUGUGGGUUGAUUAGUUUAUGGGUUUGGUUUGUUCUUUUCUUGUAUUUGCUAGACUCGGCUUUUCUUAGUUGUGAUUGUUAGUGGACUUGAUGUGUCUUUGCCUAUUGGACCUUAAUAAUGUAAUGUUGUAAUAAAAAAAAUGGAAAAAUGC